AUGUUGCCAUGGGAACUGGUGCUGGGAACUGCUAACGGAACUGCUGUGCUUGGCGAUCUUCGUGAGUUUCGACAUCGAGUGAUACAGGUUCGAAGACUCAGUUUGAAGCUGCAGGCGAUUGUUAGACCUUUUUUAUGAGUUAAGUUUUUGAAUUGAGUUGCUUUCAUAGAAUUCCCUCGCCUUU